CCUCUCUUCCAGGACAAGCUGUUGAAUAAGCUGGACGAACACGAGCCGGAGCUGGCCAUGACACAAGAGGAGGAGUGUGUGAUCUGCGUCAAUGCCAAGGCUACUAUGCAAACCUUCCCCUGUGGUCACCGGGUCGUGCAGGAAAGUGCUUCUGUCAAGACCAUACAGGUG